GUAUAUUAUACUACAAUAAAUAGAAAUGGAGAUUAAUAAAGGGGAUAGGUAUUACAUAUUCCAUAGUUCAAAUAAAAUAUAAAUUUUAGUUCAGCUUCGUAUUCCGUUGUUGAAAAUUUUAAAAGGUAAAUAAAAAAUUAAUUGAGCCAUACAAUAUCAGUGUGCCUAGUAAAACAAUCAGACGUCGACUGAACGAACAAAACUUGCAAAAUUUUAGCGAAGUGUACUUUAAAGUGAUGAAUCCGUGUUUAAAAGAAACAGGUUGAUAAAAAAAAUACGUUUAUCGUUCCCCUAAUAAAAGUUUAGAGCCUAGAUACACUACAAAAACUUUGAAAAGAUGGAGGAAAAGUUUUGGUUUUGGGUUCCUUUCCCUGACAUGGUGACAAAAAAUUAUUAGUGAAUGGUAUACAUAUAAACAUUAUAAGAGAUGUAAUGGAACCAUCUGCCAAUGAUAAUUUAUCAAUUACAUGUAUUUUUAUGCAUCAUAAUGAUAAGGAGCAUGCGUCCAAAGUUUUUCAAAGUUAGUUAAAAGAUAAAAAUGUUGAGAAUCUCCAUUGUUCAGCGUACUGUCCGGACCUAAACACAAUUGGAAUUGAAAGACAUAUAAUCUCGAUUAAAACACCAAAAAUGCAUUAAAUUUAGAUGAACUGUAGUUAUUAAUUGAACAGUGGUGGAAUUUAAUUUCAAACGACCAUUGCCGAUAUUUCAUUGAAUCUUUGCCUCACUGUUUACAGAUGGUUGUAGUGAAUAAAUGGUACCCAUCAAAAUAUUAACAAUUUUGUUUAAUUUUAUGUGGGCAGCCAAAUUUUGGAUUUAUUUUGAUUAAGUUUUAAUUUAAGUAGAAAUUAUUUUGAUUUAGAUUUUAAUUAGAGGU